rnacentral:rRNA from 1 species
CUGUUGGCGACCGGCGCACGGGUGAGUAACGCGUAUGCAACCUACCUACUACAGGGGAAUAACCCGGAGAAAUUCGGACUAAUACCGCAUAAUACAGGGGUCCCGCAUGGGAAUAUUUGUUAAAGAUUUAUCGGUAGUAGAUGGGCAUGCGUUCCAUUAGCCAGUUGGUGAGGUAACGGCUCACCAAAGCAACGAUGGAUAGGGGAACUGAGAGGUUUAUCCCUCACACUGGAACUGAGACACGGACCAG